rnacentral:rRNA from 1 species
ACCCCUACGGGGGGCAGCAGUGGGGAAUAUUGGACAAUGGGCGCAAGCCUGAUCCAGCCAUGCCGCGUGAGUGAUGAAGGCCUUAGGGUUGUAAAGCUCUUUUGUCCGGGACGAUAAUGACGGUAGUCGGAGAAGAAGCCCCGGCUAACUUCGUGCCAGCAGCCGCGGUAA